rnacentral:pre_miRNA from 15 species
UUGAUUUAGCUAGGUAGUGGGGAACCUUCCCACAAGGAGUAGAACACAUGUUAUGUAACUGCCCUUCUACCUGACUGGGUGGA